UACGUAGGGCGCGAGCGUUGUCCGGAAUUAUUGGGCGUAAAGAGCUCGUAGGCGGCCUGUUGCGUCCGCUGUGAAAUCCCAGGGCUCAACCCUGGGCGUGCAGUGGAUACGGGCAGGCUGGAGGCAGGCAGGGGAGAACGGAAUUCCCGGUGGUAGCGGUGAAAUGCGCAGAUAUCAGGAGGAACACCAAUGGCGAAGGCAGCUCGCUGGGACGGUACUGACGCUGAGACGCGAAAGCGUGGGGAGCAAACAGG
rnacentral:rRNA from 1 species